rnacentral:rRNA from 1 species
GACGAACGCUGGCGGCGUGCCUAACACAUGCAAGUCGAGCGGAGCUAAUAGUAAUAUUAGUUUAGCGGCGGACGGGUGAGUAACGCGUGGGCAACCUGCCUCACACUGGGGGAUAACACUGGGAAACUAGUGCUAAUACCGCAUAACAUCAUGAAAGGACAUCCUUUUAUGAUCAAAGGAGCAAUCCGGUGAGAGAUGGGCCCGCGUCCAAUUAGCUAGUUGGUGAGGUAAUGGCCCACCAAGGCGACGAUUGGUAGCCGAACUGAGAGGUUGAUCGGCCACAUUGGGACUGAGAUACGGCCCAGACUCCUACGGGAGCAG